GUUAGUUUUUUAAUUGGAAUCUUGUAUGAAUGGUUAGACAAAAGAAAAUCUGUCUCUAUAUUAAAAUUUGAAUUUAACUUUUAAGUGAAAAGGCUUAAAUAAAUUAAAGGGACGAUAAGACCCUAUAAAGCUUAAUAAACAAAUAAAGUAAUUGAUUAAAUUUUUAAUAAAAGGUUUUUUAAUUAAAGUUUAUUUUAUUGGGGUGAUAAAAGUAUAAUUAUUUUUAACUGCUUAAGAUUAAAAACAUAAAAUUUAUGGUUGAAGAUUUUAGUUGAUCCUAGAUAAAGAUUAUAAGUUUAAGUUACUUUAGGGAUAACAGCGUUAUUUCUUUUGAGAGUACAUAUCGAAAAGGAAGUUUGCGACCUCGAUGUUGAAUUAAAAUUUCUUUAUAAUAGCAGAAGUUAUAAAAGUUGGUCUGUUCGACCUUUAAAAUUUUA
rnacentral:rRNA from 1 species